UACGGGGGGGGCAAGCGUUGUUCGGAUUUACUGGGCGUAAAGGGCGCGUAGGCGGCAAUUCAAGUCAGUUGUGAAAUCUCCGAGCUUAACUCGGAACGGUCAACUGAUACUGUUUUGCUAGAGUACAGAAAGGGCAAUCGGAAUUCUUGGUGUAGCGGUGAAAUGCGUAGAUAUCAAGAGGAACACCUGAGGCGAAGGCGGGUUGCUAGGCUGAUACUGACGCUGAAGCGCGAAAGCUAGGGUAGCAAACGGG
rnacentral:rRNA from 1 species